AUUGAACGCUGGCGGCAGGCUUAACACAUGCAAGUCGAGCGGGGUGAUGGUGCUUGCACUAUCACUUAGCGGCGGACGGGUGAGCAAUGCUUAGGAAUCUGCCUAUUAGUGGGGGACAACAUCUCGAAAGGGAUGCUAAUACCGCAUACGUCCUACGGGAGAAAGCAGGGGAUCACUUGUGACCUUGCGCUAAUAGAUGAGCCUAAGUCGGAUUAGCUAGUUGGUGGGGUAAAGGCCUACCAAGGCGACGAUCUGUAGCGGGUCUGAGAGGAUGGUCCGCCACACGGGGAAUGAGAAACGGCCCAGACUCCUACGGGAGGCAGCAGUGGGGAAUAUUGGACAAUGGGGGGAACCCUGGUCCAGCCAUGCCGCGUGUGUGAAGAAGGCCUUAUGGUUGUAAAGCACUUUAAGCGAGGAGGAGGCUCUUUUGGUUAAUACCCAGAAUGAGUGGACGUUACUCGCAGAAUAAGCACCGGCUAACUCUGUGCCAGCCGCCGCCGUAA
rnacentral:rRNA from 1 species